rnacentral:lncRNA from 1 species
UCCACAUCUAAGGGACUUAGAAGAGGGUGUGACAAACCUUAGGUUGGCAUAAAAAAACCCAUACAAAAAAAAUCCUUUUGCAUGUGAGAAAGGAGGCUGGUUGGUGAUUGGAAGAGUCCCACUAAACUUGGACUCUUGAUUUAAAUUUGAUUUCAAAUCAAUUUGAACUCAAACUCAAUCCAAUAAAAUUUUAAUCUAAAGAG